AUACUAGCAAUGGAUUUGGGUUGUUGCAAAUGGUAUUAGAGUCAGAUACUAGGCAAUGUGCUAGCAAGGAUGCUAGGUCCUCAAGAGGGUGGAUUGUAAGAUCCCACAUCGAUUAGAGAAGGGAACGAAACAUUCCUCAUAAGGGUGUAGGAACUUUCUCCUUAGUAGACACGUUUUAAAAACUUGAAGGGAAACUUGGG